rnacentral:rRNA from 1 species
AGCUCCAAUAGCGUAUAUUAAAGUUGUUGCGGUUAAAAAGCUCGUAGUUGGAUUUCUGUCGAAGAUUGCCGGUCCGCUCUAUGAGCGUGUAUCAGGUUUGUCUUUGGCAUCCUCUUGAAGAACGUUUCUGUGCUUGAUUGCAUGGCGCGGUACUCAAGACUUUUACUUUGAGGAAAUUAGAGUGUUCACGGCAGGCAAGCGCCUUGAAUAUAUUAGCAUGGAAUAAUAAUAUAGGAUCUUGAUUCUAUUUUGUUGGUUUCUAGAAUUAGGAUAAUGAUUAAUAGGGAUAAUUGGGGGCAUUUGUAUUAACGCGUCAGAGGUGGAAUUCUUGGAUUGCGUUACGACAAACUACUGCGAAAGCAUUUGCCAAGGAUGUUUUCA